AGAUGUCACUCUAAUUCUACACAGGGGUUAGGAGAGACUGUGUUGGGAUGAUCGCAAUGGUUGAAAAACAACUCCUAUACCUAUAGACGGAGCUUUCCUGGGUAAAACUGUGAGUGCUACUUUUAGGAUCACACCACCUGUGGGGUCACAUAGUCAUCUCUCAGCACAGAAAGCAAGCACCAUAGGAACUGCAGAACCUGAAGGUAAUACAUGUUAAGAUGCAAUUACAUCAAGAAGAAAGAAGUUCUCCACUUGCUGGUGAUAAUACAAUAGAAUAAGUGACCAGAGCUGAUCAGCUAAAAUAACCACAGCAAGUAUCUACUGCAUAAGUGAGUUCCUAAGCCAGGAGCAGCCAGCCAGGAGACACAGGCCCCACCAGUCG